rnacentral:rRNA from 1 species
UACGGGGGGAGCAAGCGUUGUUCGGAUUACUGGGCGUAAAGGGCGCGUAGGCGGUCAGCACAAGUCAGUUGUGAAAUCUCCGGGCUUAACCCGGAAAGGUCAACUGAUACUGUGCGACUAGAGUGCGGAAGGGGCAACUGGAAUUCCUGGUGUAGCGGUGGAAAUGCGCAGAUAUCAGGAGGAACACCGGUGGCGAAGGCGGGUCUCUGGGCCGAUACUGACGCUGAGGAGCGAAAGCGUGGGGAGCGAACAGG